GUGUUUUCUCUCUUUGGCUCAUCACUGGUCAUUGUGAAUGACAUUUCCCCUUCGUCUGUGCCCAGUGGCCUUACCUGUUAAAUCCGUCUCCUCCAGUGACUCCAAGGUCACUCCGGGACUUAGGUUCGAGCAAUCGUGACUGCGCCUUGCCUUAGGUUGUCCCAGGGUUUCGAGGUGGGAUCUUACCCGUCAUGGGCUGUCCAGCCUUCCAUGCCCGCCUACUACAGGAGCCAACUGGGCAAGGGUGUUAUCAGACCUAGGGGACACACUGGUUCUGGAAAUUAAAGGAGUGUAAACUGCUUUCUUUAUUAAACUUUCCAACAAUAAUUUCACAUGUAACAGUUUGUGUACGUGCAUUUUCAAUUCCUUAAUGUAAUUGUUAGUUCCUGUAUUUAUUUCUCUCAGUCUGUCUCUUUUCUAAACCCUGUAAUUAAUAUAAUUUUAUUACUUUAUUACUUUUUCUUAACACAUGCAUUCGCUUCAUCUUCUUAGAAUUUAACUCUGUCUAUUUCUCUGGGUGCUCCCCUGACAUCAUCAGUCACACACACCUUCCUCUCACACACACUUUUAAAUAGAGCUCUUCCAAACAUCAGGACAACUAACACUUCUCCACGGACAGGACCAUUCUUUAGUCAUUCAGUAAUCGUCUCACACACUGCCUUUUCUCUCUCAAACUGCCAUUUUCCACUCACUCAGACAAAUCAUGCAGAGUCACUCAAAUCAAAUACUGACAGCCUUCACACAGUUAAAAUCACGCAAAAUACGCUUUCAUACGAGUAUUUUGGACAUGCCUUCCAUGAUCAGAAAGAGCAAGUCAAAAGAAAAAAGAAAAAGAAAACUGAAACCUCUCAUCGUCUCACCGCUUCUCCCCACACACACAUAACUGAAAAUAAAACACACCAACCUUUAUGGCUCACGAAAUAUACAUCUAUCAAAAUUCAGUCAUUUACUAUACAUCCACACUAAUAUAUUCACACUGUAUUUACACUCUCAUAAUAAUCAAAACCAACUUCUUAUAUACAGGCAUUUAGCAAAAAGCUCAGUCCUCUCGAAAACUGAAACCACCCUCUCUGCGCGUCACUGCUGCUCAUUUGCAUUUACACACACCAUCAGUGCACAUCCGGCUGUGCAUGACUGACACAGAGACUGAUCUUACUCAUAGAUCUCAUAUUUUAUAUUACAGACGUCUUAUUAAUUACAACUGCACAGAUUUUUUUAGGCCUUGUCGCUCCUACAAAUUUCGAAAAUUUUCCAUAACCGACUCGAACGGGCAAACCUUCAGGUUUUUAUGACCAAUUUAACAGACCAGACUCGAACUGCUCUGUCCAGAUUUCUAGCCCUAACUUACUUUACCGGUAGCCAAAAAGCGCAAGAAUAGGGGACUUGAACCCCUAGCUUAUCUCAGGAUGCCCUGUACCCCACGGUCAAGCCAAACCGAGCUAACCCUACUCGCCGGUAGGUCAACAAUGCGCGUCCGCAUCGAGGAGGGAUCGCAACGUCCGGGCUAUGCGCUUCUUAACAGCGCCGCUGUCGUCCUAGACAAAUUUAGAAUAAUUUGAAACAACAAUCUACACCCAACACAGGAUUAAGAUUGAGGACCACCCUCAACAGUUUUAGAGAUUCCCCAGUCCUCUUCGGAUGUUGCCCGAAACUAUCCCUAGUCAUCGCUAGGUGAAGGAUAGAUUUCUCUAUCCAGCAGGGAGCGUCACCUCCGAGAAAGUUCUUAAGGGUUGCAUAACCAAUGGGACUUGAACCCACACAAUGACCAAAUUCCCUAUCAUUCUAAAAGUUCACUUCGCAGUCCAACUGCUUUAAUUCUCUUUUCAUUCCUUUAUUCUCAUUACUCAGUACUGUCACUUAUACUUCCUUAUCAUUAUCAUUACUUCAACCUUCAACUUUUCACCAAAAUCAAAGCAGACAUCUACCAGUAGUUUCAGUGAGUAGACUUUCAAUUUACACAGCCCAAUUUGACACACUUUGGUUCAUAAGAUCAACAGGUGGUGCCUACCUUUUUGUUAUAUGCCGGCUUGUCACUCACUUUGACCACUGACCAAUGCCUGAGCGCCUGACGCCUCGGACCUUUCUCCAUCCUGUCUCACUUCCCCCCUCGGACGAAGCCCCCAAAUGUUAAGGUUCAAAAAUAUAGGGAAGGAAACACAGGAGGAAUGCAAGUAACCACACUGGUCCAAAGGGUAAAGACGAUGAUUUUAAUGAAAUGA
ensembl:lncRNA